AUCCUUUAGUAGUUCAUAAGCGUGAUGACUGGGUGUUCACGCUCAUGUGUGAGAUGUGUCACCUGCCAG
ensembl:snoRNA